rnacentral:tRNA from 1 species
GAGGGUACAGCUCAGUGGUAGAGAGCAUGCUAUGCAUGUGCUAAGCAUGAGGUCCUGGGUUCAAUCCCCAGUACCUCCA